rnacentral:misc_RNA from 1 species
UAUGACGUCGCCAUGACGACACUUCACUACUGAUAUCGCCAUUGUUAUCAUCAAACUGCUAUCAUCUUGCUACUGUUUUGCUGCCCUUUUCCUCGUAUUUCGCUCAUUUUCGUCUGUGUACACUAUGAGCUCCUACGCCCAAGCUGUUGACCUCGUGAUCAGGUUCCCCUUGAACUUUGACAUCUGGGCCCCUCCUCGCCAACUAUAUCAAAGCAGUCUGUAAAGUAAUCGAGUCUGGACCAGGGAAACCAGUGGUUGACUGCAUUAGCAACGACCCACACGGUCGAAGCACGGUCCAGUGGGGAGAUUAUUCUCCCCCGCAAUCUCCAAGUGGGGAAGAUCCGAAGCCAACCCCUCCACUCGCUAGUGGUGUAUCACUGAGAAGCCUUCGUCCCCAUCUGAUGUGUAUCGCGCCUGUUAUAAACACGUAUCAGUGAAACGUUUAAUAAAAUUCUGCUGUGAA